GGAUCAAUGAUGGUGUUAAAAUAACCAUUCCCUGAAAUGCUGAAAAAGAGUGAAAACUCUUUACUGUUCUCUUCAUUAAACUGUGGUCU